rnacentral:ribozyme from 2 species
AUAGUCAUAGUGGGGGCCACAGCAGAAGCGUUCACAUCGCGACCCCUGUCAGGUAAUACCUGCAAAUUCUGCU